rnacentral:rRNA from 1 species
UUUUUAGAGAGUUUGAUCCUGGCUCAGGAUGAACGCUGGCGGCGUGCCUAACACAUGCAAGUCGAACGGAGUCGUUUUGGAAAUCUCUUCGGAGAUGGAAUUCUCGACUUAGUGGCGGACGGGUGAGUAACGCGUGAGCAAUCUGCCUUUAAGAGGGGGAUAACAGUCGGAAACGGCUGCUAAUACCGCAUAAAGCAUCAAAUUCGCAUGUUUUUGAUGCCAAAGGAGCAAUCCGCUUUUAGAUGAGCUCGCGUCUGAUUAGCUGGUUGGCGGGGUAACGGCCCACCAAGGCGACGAUCAGUAGCCGGACUGAGAGGUUGAACGGCCACAUUGGGACUGAGACACGGCCCAGACUCCUACGGGAGGCAGCAGUG